rnacentral:rRNA from 1 species
AGAGUUUGAUCCUGGCUCAGGAUGAACGCUAGCGACAGGCUUAACACAUGCAAGUCGAGGGGUAACAGGGUAGCAAUACCGCUGACGACCGGCGCACGGGUGAGUAACGCGUAUGCAACCUGCCUAUAACUGGGGAAUAGCUCCCUGAAAGGGGAAUUAACACCGCAUAACACUAUUGAUUCGCAUGGAUUGGUAGUUAAAUGUAGCGAUACAGGUUAUAGAUGGGCAUGCGUGACAUUAGCUAGUUGGUGAGGUAACGGCUCACCAAGGCUACGAUGUCUAGGGGUUCUGAGAGGAAGGUCCCCCACACUGGUACUGAGACACGGACCAGACUCCUACGGGAGGCAGCAGUGAGGAAUAUUGGUCAAUGGGCGCAAGCCUGAACCAGCCAUGUCGCGUGCAGGAAGACUGCCCUAUGGGUUGUAAACUGCUUUUAUAGUAGAAGAAACACAUCUACGCGUAGAUGUCUGCCAGUAUACUAUGAAUAAGCAUCGGCUAACUCCGUGCCAGCAGCCGCGGUAAUACGGAGGAUGCAAGCGUUAUCCGGAUUUAUUGGGUUUAAAGGGUGCGUAGGCGGGACUGUAAGUCAGGGGUGAAAUACU